CCUUAGUCUUUAGCCGAGUUGGCAGCUACAAGACGACGCUCAGAGCCCAGCUCUCGAGAGUUCAAACAUCUGAAAGUUCCCCACUGCUCCGAGAAGGGGCUACCUGGGCACUCUGUGCCCCUUAUCCCUGUCCGGCCCAAGUGCCAAGGACCUGCCAGUAGGGCUCAGUUGCCUUGAGCCCGCUCUCCCCAUCCCUCCGUUCACCUUGCUUGUGGGAUCUCCUCCCUGCUGUGUCAAAACAACUUCAAGAAGGUUUUCCAGCGAUCCUGCCUCUGCCUUCAAUUUGGAUGCACAGGGUGAAAAGGCAGCAGAUGCACCACCAGGGGAGAAACUGGCCCCCAGGAAUGGCUCCCCCACAUCUCAGGAGUCUAGGCCUCGUAGAAGAAAGUUUCCUCUGCUGCCACGGAGGGUGAAAAGGCAGCAGAUGCACCACCAGGGAAACUGGACCCCAGGAAUGGCUCCCCCACAUCUCAGGAGUCUAGGCCUCGUAGAAGAAAGUUUCCUCUGCUGCCACGCAGGUGAAGGGAGCCUCUGAUGCUGCCACCUCCCUUACAGCUGGGUUACCGGGUCACUGCUGAAGACAUGGACCUGGAGAAGAAGGCAACACUCUGGUGCAUUAAUAGUGCACUGCAGGGUGAGACCUAGGCAAUCCGGGACUGUAGAGCCUCACGGCCUUCCCAAGCUUUGUCCUCACCUGCAACAGGGACUUGUCCGUCUGCUGUCCCUAAAGCACCCAGCAUGGAUGCACAUCAGCAGACUCACAAGUCCUCAGGAUACCUGGGCCGUGUGUCCCUCCUAGCAUCUGCUGCAGGGGACCCCUCUAGACCUGCUGUGUCUGGGAGGAAGCGCUGCUCAUCAAGCCCCCUGUUCUCCUAAUAUCCCCUUCCUGACACCUCUUCACACUCCCGGGACACAACCCAGGUCACCUCGCUGAUUUGUGCCCCCUUCCCAGCUCCACGUGCGGACUGCAUGUGGCCUGAGAAGCCCAAGGCCUGGCACUUCUGCUGCUGCAGCUGCCACAGGGGCCCUUACCCCCUCUACAUGGAACCCCACGUGGCGUGCCCCACCAAGUGGAGGGCAAAGAGGCCCCUCACAUCCCUGGGCCUCAGCCACAGCUGCAGCAGGUACCCAGUCUGCCUUUCCUGCCUCUCCCAGCAGCAAAAGGAUGAAAUCCCCAACCCCAAUGUGUGUGCAUUUCCCUGUCCCCUUCACACAGGGACCCCUUGUUUCCACUGACCCUCUCUCUCCUGGUCUGCAGAUUGCUGUAUCUGGAUCUGGUUCCAGUUCUGCAGCCAGCACAUCUGCUAACCUGGCACCCAAGGCAGCAAGUGACUCUGAGGUUACCCUCUUAGAUACAGUCCCUUUUCCCAGCCUCUCUUUCUGGGCCCUCCUGCAGCCUCCAGCGUAAGCUUCCUCCAAUCUCCUCAGGCCCAUCUGAUGCGCCUCAGGCACAGCACGUCCUCAGGAAAGGACACCAGCAGCCCAGCAGGAUGAAGGGUCUGUGGUCCCACUCCAGUACCAAAACUUCCUGUUACCGCAGCAGCCACAGCCCAGCACAAACCUGUGGUCCUUCAUGGGCAGCAGCAGGGAACCCGCACCUCGAAGCACUCUUUUUGUCUUCCCAUCUGGCAGCUCCAGUUGCAGCCCCAGCCUCAUCUGCUCCAAGAAAGCCAGCCCAGGGCACCACAGCACACUCAGCUGCAGGAGUCUCAUUACCCACCACUUGCACCUUAAGUCUCCUGGCCAGAAGCAAGUGGGCCUGGCUGUGGCUGCCGGCUCAGCUGGGUCCCUUCCUGAGGCAUCCGCUGCCUCUGCCUGUGAGGUGCAUGCUGCCUCCUCACACGGUGCCUCUGCCAAAACCAGGUGGCUUCGCUAAACGUUGAAAGCAGGGGCCCAGCCCCCUUGAGACUGGUGGUUUCUGCAACACAAACGGGCCUGGGGAGCAGAGAGGCAGCCCCAGCUCUGAGUUCCAGAAAUGGAUCCCUCAGCACCAAAGUGGCAAAGAGAAAGGCCCUGAGCACCACACACAGCAAUGGGGUAUGAGGGGGCCUGAACACCAGGGGACCCCCACUAGGCAGAGCACCCACGUGGUGGCCGGGGGAGGCAACACAAGGAGCAAUUCUAUUGGCCGGCAUUUUUGUCUUUCCUUUCAGUCAUAUUUCUGGGACACCAUUUAAGCAGUCACCCCCAAUUACAAGGUGGGGACCCAGUGCCACUGCAAAACAAGGCAGGCUUUGGGUGCAAGUCUGGGCCAGCUUCUGACCCUGGCAACCCCACUGCCCACGUGGGCACAGCAAGAAGGAACCUGGCCUGUAAGGCUUCCUCGUGCGCUGUCCAGGGUUCUGCUGGACACAGGUCCGCUGGGCCAUCCUCCAGCUCAUCCUUCUUAAGGUCAGGCUUUUGAGGUCUUCCUCAUUGAUUCCUUGCCUGGAGCGAAGUCCAGAAGAGUUUUCUCUUGGUUUUCCUCUAACAUUUUUGUAGUUUCAUAUCUUACAUUCAAGUCUUGGAUGUAUCCGGAGGUGAUGUUUGUAUAUGGUGAUAUGGUGAGAGAUAGGGGUCCAGUUUCAUUCUUCUGCAUGCGGCUAUCCAGCCCUCCCAGUGCCAUUCACUGAAAAGGGCAUCCUUUCCUCUAAGUGUGUUUCUGUCGGCUCUCUUUAAGAUCAAUUGGCUGUGAAUAUGUGGCUGUCUUUCUGGGCUCUCUCAUGUGUCUGUCCCAUUGAUCUAUGUGUCUAUUUUCAUGCUAUGAUCAUGCUGUUUUACUUACCACACACUUGUCAAAAUUUUUGUUGUUCUAAUUUGUAGUAAAAUGGGAUGCCUCUAGUUUCUUUUUCUAUUUGCUGAGGAUGACUUUGGCUCUUUGAGCUCUUUUGGUUCCAUAUGAAUUGUAGAAUUUCCCAGUUCUGUGAGUGAUGACGUUGGUAUUUUGGUAGGGGUUGUAUUCAAUCUCUAGACUGCUUUGGGCAGUAUGGUCAUUUUAAUGCUAUGAAUUCCUUCCAUCCAUGAGCACGGGAUGAUUGCCCAUUUCUUUGUGUCCUCUUAAACUUUUUCAUCAGUGUUUUGUAGUUUUCCUUGUAGAAAUCUCGUACCCCCUCGAUAGAAUUCAUUCUGUGGCAUAACGUUUUUCAUUUUGUUGCUAUUGUAAAUGGGAUUGCCUUUUUAAUUUCUUUCCCAGUUAGACCAUUAUUGGUGUAUAGAAAUGCUGAUUUUUCUAUGUUGAUUCUUUAUCCUGCUAAUAACUGUAUUUUCUUAUCAAGUCUAGGAGUUUUCUGGUGGAGCCUUUACAUGUUUCUAAAUCCAGGAUCACAUCUUCAUCAGACAAAGAUAAUUUGAUGUCCUUGUUUCCAUGACUUGGGUUAUGCAAGGCUCUGCCUGUCAGCUGGCCAUCGCGGACCAGCUCUCUUCCAGUGAGAACGCCCAAGCUCUUACACCCCUGCCCCGGGUGUGGCCAUGCUCCCUCCCAGAAGUGACCUCCAACCCGAUCCUCCUCCCCGUCUUGUGGCAUCUGCUCUGGGGAAGGGCAUUUUGGCCUCAAGGGCUGAGCGUGUCAUUCCGUUUUCUGUUGAUCUUUCCAGAGCUGUCUGGGAGAGCCCGUGCAUUAGUUCAUGUACUGUUUCUAUGGAGGCAAUCACGGCUUUCUUUCAGGGCUGGAUAUAAAAGUUCUUGUGAGGCUUCUGUAUAAACUCUGCCUUUACCACAUGAAUAGGACCAGCACGCUUCCACUACACGACUCUGAAAUCUGCCUUUAUUUAUUUACUUAUUCACUUACUUAUUUUUCCAGGGCCUCAGACAUAGAUGGUUGUUUGACAUUUAUGUACUUUUUUUGAGACAGAAUCUCACUCUGUCACCCAUGCUGAAGCAUAGUGGCGGGACCUUGGCUCAACCUCUGCUCCUGGGUUCAAGUAAUUCUCCUGUCUCAGCCUCCCGAGUUUCUGGGACUGUAGGCACACGCCACAGCUCCCAGCUAAUUUUUGUAUUCUUAGUAGAGACCUGGUUUUGGUAUAUUGGUCAGGUUGGUCUCGAACUCCUGACCUCAGGUGAUAUAUUUGCCUCAGUCUCCCAAAGUGCUGGGAUUACAGGUGUACAUUAAUUAAUUAUUUGUUAGGGAGUCUUGCUCAGUGGGCCAGGCUAGAGUGCAAUGCUGCAUUCUAGACUCACUGCAACCUCCGCCUCCUCGGUUCAAGUGAUUCUCCUGCCUCAGCAUCCUGAGCAGCUGGGGUUACGGACACCUGCCACUGUAUGUAGCCAAUUUUUGUGUUUUUAGUAGUCAUGGGAUUUCACCAUCUUGGCUAGGCUGGUCUUGAACUCCUGACCUUGUGAUCCACCCUCCUUGGCCUCCCAAAGUGUUGGGAUUAUAUGGGUGAGCCACCACCCCUGGCCACAUUUGUUUAUUUGUUUAGAGACAGGGUCUCCCUCGGUCGCUUAGGCUGGAGCGCAGUGGCACCAUUUCAGCUCACUGCAGUCUCUGCCUCUGGGGUUCAAGUGAUUCUCAUGCUUCAGCCUCCUGAGUAACUGGGACUACAGGUGUGACACCAUGCAGGGACAAUUUUUUCUAGAGACAGGGUUUCAUGAUAUUGGUCAGGCUGGUCCCAAACUCCUGACCUCAGGUGAUCUGUCUGCCCUGUCCUUUCAGAGUACGAAGAUUACAGGUGUGAGCCACUGUGCCAGGUAUCUCACUAGGUUUAAAUGAUGCAGUGGCUCAUGCCUGUAAUCCCAUCACACUGGGAGGCCAGGGCAGGCAGAUCACCUAAGGUCAGGAGUUCGACACCACCCUGGCCAACAUAAGGAAACCCCAUAUCUACUAAAAAUACAAAAAUUAGACAGGUGUGGUGGCGUGAGCCUGUAGUCCCAGCUACUUGAAGGCUGAGGCAGGAGAAUCAGUUUAACCCGCUAGGCAGAGGUUGUAGUGAGCCAAGGUUGUGCUACUGCACUACAGCCUGGGUGACAGAGUGAGAGUCCGUCUCAAAAAAAAAAAAAACAAAAAACGGUAAAAUACAUGCUGCCUGGAUAUCUCGGUCUGAGUGCCUGCAUGAGCACAGCAGUGUACAGGCCAGGGCUGCUGGUCGAGGGCAGGUCCCAUCUUGUCCAGCAGAAAGGGAAUGAGCUUACGGGGAGGCUGGAGAACAAGAUUCCAGGAUCUCAGCCUCUGCUCAUAGAUCAGCUCUGAGACCCCAAGUGAGCUGGGGGUGCUCUGUGUGCCUUGGUUUCCCCAGCUAUCAAGUAGAGAGAUUGGAUGAGGAAGUCUCUUCAAGGUGGAAUGAACUCAGAUUUGGGGCGAAAUGAAUGGUCCUGCUCCCUGGUGUUGGUGACACUAUUAAACAGGGCUGUGGAGAGAAGCUGAGAAGGGUCACAUUGCAGGCAGGGACCUGUGUGACAAGCCCCUCUCACCCCGAGAGAGCUGACCAGGCAGCUCAGGAAGUCACCUCCUGGGAGUCUGAGAAAGGUCCUGGCUGGGCUCAGCAACCUCAUUGGCCAUGGUAGGCUUUGCCGUGUGAGCCUUGCUCACCUGGGGAGGCUCAGGCUGACAGCUGAUGUGGACAGUGCUGAGGGUAAACCUGUGGCACAGAUGUGGCCAGGUCUCCUCAAGCUGCACUCACCCAAGUAGGACCCAGGCUGCACGCCCAUCUCCAGCCCAUGGCAGCUCUCCUGUAAGCUGGACAGGCUUCUGAGGGCAAGACGAUAGGCAGCUGAGAAUACCCAGGGCCCACGCACAGGUGGUGGAAAGGCUGGACUCAGCAGCAACACCAAACCACCAAACCCCAGACCAAGCAGAAACCACCCGAGACCAGGGGCUCGUACAGAGCAGUGGCCGCAGGUAAGAACCCAGGCCCAGGCUGUGUGUGGCGGGAGUCCUCCCUGUCCCAGGGCCCAGCACAGCAAAGGAGCACCAGCCAGGUCAUCCUGGCAGCGGUCUGUCCCAGAUCCACCUGCAGGGGCAGAAAAGCCUCUCCCAAGGUGGGAUUGUCUCUCUCCAGCAAAACAACAGUGGUCUCUGCCCUAAUCACACUGCCCAACUCAGUGGUUACUGCUGCUGCUCCAGCGUCCUAUGCUGUCCAGCCGGCACCUGUCUGUGCUCAUCCAUACCCCCCAGGCCUGCCUUCCCUGUGGACUGUGCUUGGCCACCUUGGCCUGAUUGAGCACUGAGGCCUCCUGGGCACCCAGCCAAUCACUGCACCUGCGUUUUCCGGCCCCCACCCCACUGGCUCAGGGGUUCCACCCAGCGGCGCUGAUGAUGAAAUCAACAAGCACUGGAAUCAUGUCAGAGAACUUUAAUGAAAGUGUCGGCAGUUCUUUCCCCCACGGUGCUGUGCAGGUGGCCGAGCUCAUAUUGCCGCUGUUAAGACACCAGCCACUUACAGAGAGAAAGCGAGGCUGCUUCAAACCCAGGGCCUGAUGCAAAAAAGCAUCACUUCUGGUCAGGGAGUCUGGCAGCCAUGCCUUGGGGGAGGUCACACUGGCGCCCAGGCCUCUGUCUGCAUUGCAGGGGGAGAGCUGGGUCCCGUCCUGGAGAACGCUGCAUUUCCCAGUCCCGAACCAGCUUUACCUCUGCACAGGAUUUUGAGCCAGGACGCAGGUAAGUGACACACCUCAAGUCCUAAAGCCAUCAUCACUCCUGGAACCCAGUGGGGGAGGAUCCUUUUUAGAACAUGGAAAGUGUGGUCAUCCCAUCAUUAGACAAGCACACAUCGUACAUAAAUAAAAGUCGCAUGGGGAUGCAGGUAGGGGGGAAACGAAAAUUGGCACAGC